GCACACACACACACACACACACACACCUAUUUUGCACCAAGUUUAACCUCAGAGCGGUCACAGUUUAGUUAUCCGAUCCAAGAGAUUAGAUCAGGAGGCUUAAAAAUCUCGUCUGCUUUUACGGUUUUAGUAUUGAAUGAUGUGCUGACCUUUUCAGGAAGGAAUCUUCCGGCGUGGAAGACAUUUCAUUCAAGGCCGAGCCGUUGGCUUAAAAAGAGACAUCUUCACAUCGGGAGGAUAAACUCGGCUCAUAAACCGGGAUUGCCGUUUUUGUACAUUUUCCCGAAACUGUACCCGAAUUUGACAUUUGAUUUCUUUUUUUUUUUUUUUUUUUGCCUGUUAAGCUGCUUUAGUAGUUGUUAUCGUGGUUCGCCGUUUGAGUAGUUUUCAGCUGUUUCUGCUGUUUACCCCGUUUAGCCACUUUGAGCACUUAACGCCGUCCGCCUCAGACGCUUUAGUAGCAUUAUCCAUCAACACGUUUCACCCCUUUUUCUGCACCUGCUUUAAUGAUUUUUUUAGCUAUUUUUCAUGGGUUUGGCGAUUUUUUUUUUUUUUUUUUCCUCUUUUCGCCCAUUGAACAAUUUUCAGGAUCACACACCAGAAACUUUAUUCGUUCACUCAACUCAACUCUUUGCCUCUGUGAAGCGAUAUUGAGCGUUUUGUUUAUGGUCACAGUUUCAAGCAGGAUGGAGGAGUGAGUGAGCCGAAGAAGGAAAAUGACUAACAAAGGAAAGUACGGCGGAAGAAGAACGCGGGCCUCCACAGCUUAGGAGCGCAAAGCUAUCAGGAGAAGAGAAUAAAGGGAUGUUUGAUACGAUCGGAGCUGUCAUACCCAUGCCGCCUCCUCCACCUCCUCCUCCUCUGCUGCAUCAUUCAGCCACGAGCAGCCACAGCUGAGCUCCAGCACCUAUUAGAAACCUUCACAUUAGUGAACUGAGGCGUUUCAACAUCAUUUUGCUUUAAUUAACGGAAACGUUUUGCUCGUGUUUUUAUUUAUUUCUUCUUUUUUUUUUUCUUUUUCCGACGCUCAAUGAGGCGUCAAACAAAGCAAACAGAUGUAUUGUUAAUUGUUUGGCGGUGAAUGAAAGCGGCGCGUGCGGCGGCGGCGGCGACGCCAGCUCAUCAUCAUCAUCAUCCCUCCCUGCCUGCACUUUAAACACACACACACACACGCGCGCGCGCGCACGCACGCCGCCAUCCGACGUGGUCUCGCCGCAUUCCUCGGAUUACACGGCGUCUGCUCUCGUCUGCGGGCGCGCCCGCGACUGCAGACAGCAGACAGACAGGGGAGACAAAGACGCAAAAGACGGCGCAGCGCUGCGAGGAGAAUUAAGCGCCGGGUGCUAAUAGGAUGUCGGGAGUAAUUAGUGAAAUUCAAGUCCGGGGUGUCUCAUAACUGUAAAUCCUGUUUGCGUUUUCCCCGAGCAAGUUAAUUCUCGACGUGUCUGGGCAGAUGUAUGGCAAGUAUUAUUAGGAGGAGGAAGCACGCUCGGCGAGUGAUCCGACGCCAGAGCUCCGGGGGUGACGACACAGCGCCAGGUGAUUUAGGAAAGGAAGGGAGCAGGUGAUCCUCGCUCGCGCGCUCUCUGGAGUGUAGGCGAACGAGGAAAUAGUGGGUUUUUUUUUUUUUAAAUUAAGCCCAUCAAUCUUGUGCAGUGGUGCGUUAGCUGGGAGUAGAAAGACGCUUUGUCAAUGCAAUGAGCCAAGAUAAUAGUGUUUAUGCCAGUUGAAAAAGGAGCAAAAAAAAGGCCUUCAAGGUUCAUUAUGAAACUGCGCCGGGUUAAAUCAGCCUGUAGAGGGCCGUCACCGCCAAUAGAAACGCUCCCAAAACCCAAAAACAGGAAAAAAUUGGACCAAUAUUCCUAUUAAAGAUGUAAAUGAUGGCUCGCUACAGUCCCAGCAACUGAAGAAACACUGAAUCACGUAUUUUACUUUAUCUGUUUAUCUGUUAUUCGUUUGGAGCAUUUCCUCCAACUUUGAUCGUCCCUGGAAUUAGAUUGAUGAUUAUUGAUAAGUAAUGCGAUUACUGUCACCGGUAAAAACAACUGACGGAGUUUGAGCUGGAAAUGGAAAAACGGUGCGAUGUGCCGAGUCGUUACUCGCAGACUCGGUAUGUGGUGAGACUUUGUAGUGUGAAGUCAGUAGGUGUCGUCCUGUGUGUGUGUGUGUCAGAUGACUUCCUGCUCAGCCUCCUUGUUGACAGUGAACCUGCUGACCUUGGUGUUUGAGGUGGGGGGGGGGGGGUGACUGUCAGGCCGUGUGUGUGCGUGCCACGCUCAUGCUAGGAUGUCAGUCAAAGCCGCCCGGAGGCUCUCGGAGCCAUCAAUUAUUGAUAAAGCUGGUGUCUCUCGGUGGCGGCGGCGGCGGCGGCACCGCCAUGUUGACUGAUGCGGGAGAGCGUGGACCUCCGCUCUAUCUCGGCUCAGCACGGCGCCGGGGCUCGCUUCAUUCUCCUCCAAAUGGCUCUUUGGGCUUAAUAGAUGUUUUCUUCCCGUCAUUCACUUCAUGGCAUGCCCGAUUGUCCACACACACACACACACACACACACACACUCCAACGCCAUGACAUUUAAAUGUUUGUGUGUGUCUGCGCCGCCUGUAAUUUGGGAAGGGAGAAUUACAACUUAGCGUGGUCCUUGCUCACAGACUGCGCACUCACGCUGGAGACGAAUCCUAAUGCCCCACCUGCAGCCCCCCCCCCAGCGCAGAGCCCAUUUUUCUCCAACCGAAAAGCCUCAUCGUGCACGGGGCUCAGCGCGCACGGCCUUGCGUACACAUGUGCAGCGCGCUCGUAAAAAAAAAAAAAAAAAAACACUGGUAAAAACAGGGCUGCUAGCAGGCAAAGUCUCCACAGGGGGCUUUUAAACGUCACGUUCAGGAGCCGGACGGCUGCAGAGCAGAAUCCCCCGUUCAGACCAGGCUAAUGAGGAGGUUUUUCUUUAUGCUGCGGAUAAUGAAACUAACUGACAGUUAGGUGAUUUAGCAACAUAGAUUUGUUGAUAUUUAGUGAAAAGUCGACGUUUUAUUCUGGCUUUUGUUAUUUUUGCUCCGUUUGGCUCGUCUGUGUUCAACUGGCUAUUUUUACUUUCCCUUUUAUUUCUUUUUUUUUGUUUGUUUUUAAUUACAUUUUCACCAUUAUCUUGUUUGUUUUUCAUCAGCUUCAACAUUCCCGUUUUGUCGUCUCAUUUUAUUCUUGUUUUUCGACGUCUUGUCAGAUUUUUCUUGAAGUAAUUUCUUUUACGGAAGCCGGAAUAUGACAGACCCCUCUCGGCACAAUGCCGUCACAAAACAAUUUGUGACAAAAACUUUAACAUGGAUUUGCUGUAAAAGCGCAGAUCCAGAUGUGUACUUUCAGUUUGAAUCGGUUGUUUCUGUGGGCUGAAGGAACGCCAAUGCGUUGCGCAGGUUCUACGUUGCGUUGCAUCACAUUGAGCCAUCGUCGCCCGUUAGAUUGACUCGGUAUAGAUAGCAUCAGCCGGCCCUCCUUCUGUCUCCAGCUCACAAAUCAAAGGUCGGCUCGCCACGGCAAGGACUCUGAUGUGUACUUUUUUUGUUGUUUUUUUGUUGUUGUGUGUCCUUUUUUUUU